UCACAUUGCUUCUUUUU
rnacentral:miRNA from 1 species